GAAGAUGAUAAAAUAGCUAGGAUGAUAGGACGUGACGACCCCAACAGCAACCCGUGGAUUCUGGGCCAACAAUUCUUCUUCUUCUUCUUCUUCCUUCUUUUUCAGUCUUCAGCCUUCUCAGCAAGCAAUGCCAUUUCCUUUCAUUCUGUUGCACCCUCCCAGUUCCCACAUUGUCAUUUGACCCAUCCCCAUUUUCUUACCACUUCUCCAUCCUCCAUCUCUCUUUUCUAGUCUAAGACGUGUCGCUGCAGAUUCGGAUCUAUCCCCUUACUACCUAGGCAAUGCCAAGUUUAAGCUUUACCUUACACACUCUGCUUCCUCCCAACCACACAAAAACAAGUAAAACAGAGGAAAUGAAAGCAGAAUAGUACUUCCCCUGUUCAAUUAUAUUGCCUGCAUUGAAACAUAUAUUUGCACUUGUGCCAUGUCUAUAUUAAUUAUGACCAUUGGAACUUGCUGUGAAAAUCAGUUCGUUUUACCUUUUAACAACUUGGCCUCCUAAGGGUUUCAUUUCAUAUUUUCAUUGAAGACAAUUAUUUUCUGGUUAUAUGGGUAGUGAACACCUUGGGUUUCUGGUUAGAAGAGUUUGUUUGUGGUCCAACGAAUUGAUAUAUAAUUGAUAACGUGGAAUUGACUUUACAUUAUAGUAGCUAAUUUUGGGAUCCUCUGUAUGUAUGAAUAGUCGGCGACCCCAGAGAGAGAUGUUGGUUCUUUUUUAUGAAAUUUGCAAGCAAAGCAUGUACAUAGACAGAUUGAUUGGACGCAAUGAAUUGCCAAUCCGCGUACAUUCCGGGUGGAGAUUUGGACUAAAGCUAAGGGGCCAAAGAAACAGAGGGGCCGCCGGGCCGGGAAAUCGGAGGGACCUGGACAGGCGCACGUGUGCAGAGAUAUAUUUUACUGGUGAAACAUUGAAACACCUACACCGUUGUCUUAUUUUUCUGCACCGUUUUGAAUUUCAUGAAACAGAGAGUUUAAUUUGCAAUAUAUGGUAAGUAAGUUGGUCCUUAUUAGCUUGUUGAUGAGAUGGAGAAUCUGCAUGCAUGGGCAAAUUAAUCUAUCUAGCUACUUAAAUUGUACUAUAUAGUAUAUAGGUAAGGGUACGUAGGUCUGAAUUGAACGUAUGUGGACUGUACGUGGUGGUUGGGGUUGGGGAUGAUGACUGAUGGAUGUAUCAUGUGACGUGAGUCCAAUUCUGUUGCUCUAUUUAUAUCAUUAAUUUUGAAGUUAAUGAAACAAAAUCGGAUUUACAACAA
rnacentral:lncRNA from 1 species